rnacentral:ncRNA from 2 species
GGUCAUGAGUGCCAGCGCGAAGCCCCGGCUCGCUGGUCGGCAACCCUCCACCGCGGUGGGGUGCUCCGGGUGACGACCUGGCCGCGCCGAACGGGCGCGGCAAGCGCGGAUU